AUCAUUGCGCUGGGGACAAUGACGCAGCUUGUGAGGUCUUAACCGAGGCGUGUCAAUUGCUGGUUGAAAACUAUUUCCCUCUUUAUUGAUCUCUUUGGCUUGGUUUCGCUCGGCUAUUGAGAAUUUUUGAAAGGGCUUCCUUUUUGGGUAAAGCU